rnacentral:rRNA from 1 species
AUUGAACGCUGGCGGCAUGCUUUACACAUGCAAGUCGAACGGCAGCACGGGUGCUUGCACCUGGUGGCGAGUGGCGAACGGGUGAGUAAUGUAUCGGAACGUAUCCGGAAAUGGGGGAUAACGUAGCGAAAGUUACGCUAAUACCGCAUAUGCCCUGAGGGGGAAAGGUGGGGAUCGCAGGACCUAUCGUUUUCGGAGCGGCCGAUAUCAGAUUAGCUAGUUGGUGGGGUAAAGGCCAACCAAGGCGACGAUCGGUGGCUGGUCUGGGAGGACGACCAGCCACACUGGGACUGGUACACGGCCCAGACUCCUACGGGAGGCAGCAGUGGGGAAUUUUGGACAAUGGGGGCAACCCUGAUCCAGCCAUGCCGCGUGAGUGAAGAAGGCCUUCGGGUUGUAAAGCUCUUUCGGACAGAAAGAAAUCGCACUUGAUAAUACCUUGUGUGGAUGACGGUACUGUAAGAAGAAGCACCGGCUAACUACGUGCCAGCCGCCGCAGUAAGAC